UUGAUUGUGAAGACUGUGAAGUUCGGAGCGUUGAAUUUAUUUAAUAUUUAGUGUUAUCGAGUCACGGAUGGAGUGUAGACGCAUUUCAACGACAAUAUUUAUUUAUUUUAAGAUGUAAACAAAUGACGUGUAUGAAAAAACAGCAGACAUGUCGAGGUAUAAUACUGUGAUUGUGUUUUUAGUGUUUUCUGUGAUUAAGUGCAGUUUAACAAACAGUUUCGUAAACGAACUGGUCACAAGUGCACAUAACCAUGUCCAUUGUAACCACGAACACCCAAAAGUUGAUGAUGACCGUGAUGAUUUUGAGCCAGGUUUAUCCCUCGGUCGCCUUUU
rnacentral:misc_RNA from 1 species